GACGAACGCUGGCGGCGUGCCUAAUACAUGCAAGUCGAACGCACUCUCGUUUAGAUUGAAGGAGCUUGCUCCUGAUUGAUAAACAUUUGAGUGAGUGGCGGACGGGUGAGUAACACGUGGGUAACCUGCCCUAAAGUGGGGGAUAACAUUUGGAAACAGAUGCUAAUACCGCAUAAAACCUAACACCGCAUGGUGUAGGGUUGAAAGAUGGUUUCGGCUAUCACUUUAGGAUGGACCCGCGGUGCAUUAGUUAGUUGGUGAGGUAAAGGCUCACCAAGACCGUGAUGCAUAGCCGACCUGAGAGGGUAAUCGGCCACACUGGGACUGAGACACGGCCCAGACUCCUACGGGAGGCAGCAGUAGGGAAUCUUCCACAAUGGACGAAAGUCUGAUGGAGCAACGCCGCGUGAGUGAAGAAGUUUCGGAUCGUAAAACUCUAGUUGUUGGAGAAGAAUGUAUCUGAUAGUAACUGAUCAGGUAGUGACGGUAUCC
rnacentral:rRNA from 1 species